GAGCAGAAGAGCGGGCUGAGGUCUCUGAAUUAAAAUGCAGCGACCUGGAAGAAGAGCUCAAGAAUGUCACCAACAACCUGAAGUCCCUGGAAGCUCAGUCAGAGAAGUACUCUGAGAAAGAGGACAAGUAUGAAGAAGAGAUAAAGAUUCUGACAGACAAGCUAAAA